UACGUAGGGUGCGAGCGCUAAUCGGAAUUACUGGGCGUAAAGCGUGCGCAGGCGGCGCGUUAAGACAGGUGUGAAAGCCCCGAGCUUAACUUGGGAAUUGCGCUUGUGACUGGCGUGCUGGAGUGUGGCAGAGGGAGGUGGAAUUCCACGUGUAGCAGUGAAAUGCGUAGAGAUGUGGAGGAACACCGAUGGCGAAGGCAGCCUCCUGGGCCAGCACUGACGCUCAUGCACGAAAGCGUGGGGAGCAAACAGG
rnacentral:rRNA from 1 species